UAGGGAAUCUUCGGCAAUGGGGGGAACCCUGACCGAGCAACGCCGCGUGAGUGAAGAAGGUUUUCGGAUCGUAAAGCUCUGUUGUUAAGGAAGAACGAGUGUGAGAAUGGAAAGUUCAUGCUGUGACGGUACUUAACCAGAAAGGGACGGCUAACUACGUGCCAGCAGCCGCGGUAAUACGUAGGUCCCGAGCGUUGUCCGGAUUUAUUGGGCGUAAAGCGAGCGCAGGCGGUUAGAAAAGUCUGAAGUGAAAGGCAGUGGCUCAACCAUUGUAGGCUUUGGAAACUGGUUAACUUGAGUGCAGAAGGGGAGAGUGGAAUUCAAUGUGUAGCGGUGAAAUGCGUAGAUAUAUGGAGGAACACCGGUGGCGAAAGCGGCUCUCUGGUCUGUAACUGACGCUGAGGCUCGAAAGCGUGGGGAGCAAACAGG
rnacentral:rRNA from 1 species